GAUGUGCCCACUGGAGUGACAGAAAAUGACAACGUGGAAAAUGACCAAUUUUUCCAUGAUGACAACAAUGGUCAAAAUGAUUCUGAUGGCUCUGGAGCUGAACCACAAGAAGAAAGCCAGUAACAUCCAGAGAUAUAAAAUAAAAUAAAGUUCUCCAAAAAAUGACCAGGGUAAACCUGCAUAUAUGAGCGGAUUUAAACAGCAUUUUUAAAUAAAAAUGCCUUAAAGUAUG